GACAGAGGGUGCAAACGUUGCUCGGAAUUACUGGGCGUAAAGCGCGUGUAGGCGGGUCGGAAAGUCGGGCGUGAAAUCCCCAGGCUCAACCUGGGAACUGCACUCGAAACUUCCGGUCUAGAGUGGUGGAGAGGGAAGUGGAAUUCCUGGUGUAGAGGUGAAAUUCGUAGAUAUCAGGAGGAACACCAGUGGCGAAGGCGGCUUCCUGGACACCAACUGACGCUGAGACGCGAAAGCGUGGGGAGCAAACAGGAUUAGAAACCCCCGUAGUCC
rnacentral:rRNA from 1 species